GAGCUAAGAAGCACAGAGCUAGGGUCCGCUGCUAACUCCUCAACAAGUUCUCUCUCUUCCUCUCUCGUUCUCAAUCAUUUUCCGACGAAGAUAAAACGAAUGAAUGCAAAUACCUAUCAUGUGAGAAUGGUUUCUUCAGAAUGAGGUAGCUGUUGCAGCCAGGCACCUGCUUCCAGUCCUAGUGAGCCCAUAGACAUCAUGACUUGUGCUGAGAAAAUCUCUGGCUUACAGUGGUCUUGCAAGAGGUCUUCAAGAAAGUGCCAACAUCAUUGAGAAGCAUGCUGCACAGCUCUGCGUUCUAGCAGAAGAUUGUGACCAACCUGGUUAUGUGAAACUGGUGAAGGCCCUUUACGCAGAGCACAAUGUUAGCCUUUUGACAGUUCCAAGUGCAAAAGGGUAGAGAUUUUUAAGUGUGAACACUUUGGAAGAGUUGGAAAACUUAGCAAAAGAGGUUUCAAAAGCAACGGUCUUUUUGUUCCCUUUUGAUAGAGUGUGUAACACAGUUGUAGUCCAAAUAAGAGGUUUUUUGAUUGAGAGGGAAGUGUGGUGAGGAAAAUGCGUCGUUUGAUUUUGAUUUCAUCACGUUCAAAUCUACUUCCACCUUUUCAAUUUCAAACCUUAUCCACAGCCACCGUCACAGAGAGGCCUUUUCCUACCCCUCCACCUCCCGAUGAGGCCACCGUUCGCCAAACGCUGCUCUCCUUCAACAAUGACUGGAAGCGAGCCCUGGAGUUCUUCGAUUGGGUGGAGGAAUCUCACUCCCACUGCAACUUUCGCCACUCCACUGACACCUUCAACCUCAUGCUCGACAUCCUGGCCAAGUUCUUCGAGUUCGAUCUCUGUUGGCACCUCAUUCGCCGCAUGCACUCCCACCCCUCCUCUCCCCCCAACCAUACCACAUUCCGUGUCAUCUUUAAGCGCUAUGUUUCCGCCCAUCUUGUCCAAGAUGCCAUUGACACCUUCCACCGCCUUGAAGAGUUCAACCUCAAGGACCACACCUCCUUCUCCCACCUCGUAGAUGCCCUCUGCGAGUACAAGCACGUCCUCGAGGCACAAGACCUUGUCUUCUCUAAAGACACACCCGUCGACACAAUUGGAAACACCAAGAUCCACAACAUGGUUCUCCGUGGGUGGUUCAAAUUGGGGUGGUGGAGCAAAUGCAACGAGUUCUGGGAGGAGAUGGAUAGAAAAGGGGUUCAAAAGGACUUGCACUCAUAUUCAAUUUACAUGGAUAUUCUGUGCAAAGCUGGAAAACCUUGGAAGGCUGUCAAAUUGUUCAAAGAGGUUACCAAGAAGGGUUUCCAAUUAGAUGUUAUGGUUUAUAACAUUCUCAUUCGAGCCAUUGGUNUUUCCCAAGGGGUUGAUUUCUCAAUUAGGGUUUUCCGUGAAAUGAAGGAGUUGGGUAUUAACCCCACUAUUGUCACUUACAACACUUUGAUUAGGCUUUUGUGUGAUUGCUACAGACACAAGGAGGCACUUGCCUUGCUUCGAACCAUGGCUCAGGAUGGUUGCCACCCCACUGCCAUUUCUUACCAUUGUUUUUUUGCCUCUAUGGAGAAGCCUAAACAGAUACUUGCUAUGUUUGAUGACAUGAUAGAAGGUGGGGUUAGGCCCAGCAUGGACACCUAUGUCAUGCUCCUGAACAAGUUUGGUAGGUGGGGGUUUCUUCGCCCAGUUUUCAUGAUAUGGAAUAGAAUGGAGCAACUUGGGUGUAGUCCUGAUGCAGCAGCUUACAAUGCCUUGAUAGAUGCUCUUGUAGACAAGGGGUUGAUAGAUUUGGCUAGAAAGUACGAUGAGGAGAUGUUAGCGAAAGGACUUUUACCUAAGCCAAGAAAAGAGUUGGGGACAAAGCUGUUAGGAGGAGAAUCUGCUGAUUUAUUGGACGAGUAUUCUCAAAGUACCAUACAGACACACAACGUUCCACUAGUCUAGAUAAUGUACUUCAGUGGCUUAAGAGCGCAGAUGAACUGGAAAGUGUUGUUGGUCGAUAAUAGAAAAUGUUAAUGCUCGUAUAUUUGACCAGACAUCAGUAGAAGAAGGGUUCAUUCUGAAGUUGAAGAUAUUAAUGAAAGGUGCUCCGAUGAAAAGAAAAGAAUCCGAGGCCAAAAUCCUACACCUUUCCAAACCAGAGGUGAAAGAUUUGAGAUUGGAAUUCACUCCAGUGAGUCAGUAUGAAACAGUUAAGAGUCUGCAGGAGAAUGGGCACCUUCCUGUUUCAACAACAGUGAAAUCAUAAACAAGCUCACCCCUUUAUUUAAUUACCAGUUUAAUUCAGGACAAGAAGCUGCAGCUUUUGGCAAUCUGGGCUAGCUCAUUAUUAUAAGAGAGUUAGCUAAACUCUGAAUUCAAAAGAAAGUGAUUUCUCCUUUUAUUACAAAGAAUGAAAAGGAAAGAAUUCAGAAGAAAGAUAUCCUCAUUUAUCGGUGGGAAAUAGAGUGGAAAAGGAAGAAUGUGAUAAGAACAAAAUUGUUAUAUUUGACUGAAAAAAAAGUUAAAAAAAAAAACAAAUAAAGAAUUUCAAACUAUAAAAUCAUUGUUUUUAAU